rnacentral:rRNA from 1 species
AGAGUUUGAUCAUGGCUCAGAUUGAACGCUGGCGGCAGGCCUAACACAUGCAAGUCGAACGGUAACAGGACUAGCUUGCUAGUUGCUGACGAGUGGCGGACGGGUGAGUAAUGCUUGGGAAUUUGCCUUUGGGAGGGGGAUAACCACUGGAAACGGUGGCUAAUACCGCAUAACGUCUACGGACCAAAGGGGGCUUAGGCUCCCACCUAUAGAGAAGCCCAAGUGAGAUUAGCUAGUUGGUGAGGUAAAGGCUCACCAAGGCGACGAUCUCUAGCUGUUCUGAGAGGAAGAUCAGCCACACUGGAACUGAGACACGGUCCAGACUCCUACGGGAGGCAGCAGUGGGGAAUAUUGCACAAUGGGGGAAACCCUGAUGCAGCCAUGCCGCGUGUGUGAAGAAGGCCUUCGGGUUGUAAAGCACUUUCAGUUGUGAGGAAAGGUUAGUAGUUAAUACCUGCUAGCUGUGACGUUAGCAACAGAAGAAGCACCGGCUAACUCCGUGCCAGCAGCCGCGGUAAUACGGAGGGUGCAAGCGUUAAUCGGAAUUACUGGGCGUAAAGCGCACGCAGGCGGUUUGUUAAGCUAGAUGUGAAAGCCCCGGGCUCAACCUGGGAUGGUCAUUUAGAACUGGCAGACUAGAGUUUUGGAGAGGGGAGUGGAAUUCCAGGUGUAGCGGUGAAAUGCGUAGAUAUCUGGAGGAACAUCAGUGGCGAAGGCGACUCUCUGGCCAAAGACUGACGCUCAUGUGCGAAAGUGUGGGUAGCGAACAGGAUUAGAUACCCUGGUAGUCCACACCGUAAACGCUGUCUACUAGCUGUGUGUGAAUUUAAUUCGUGCGUAGCGAAGCUAACGCGCUAAGUAGACCGCCUGGGGAGUACGGCCGCAAGGUUAAAACUCAAAUGAAUUGACGGGGGCCCGCACAAGCGGUGGAGCAUGUGGUUUAAUUCGAUGCAACGCGAAGAACCUUACCUACACUUGACAUGCAGAGAACUUUCCAGAGAUGGAUUGGUGCCUUCGGGAACUCUGACACAGGUGCUGCAUGGCUGUCGUCAGCUCGUGUCGUGAGAUGUUGGGUUAAGUCCCGCAACGAGCGCAACCCUUGUCCUUAGUUGCCAGCAUUAAGUUGGGCACUUUAAGGAGACUGCCGGUGACAAACCGGAGGAAGGUGGGGACGACGUCAAGUCAUCAUGGCCCUUACGGGAUGGGCUACACACGUGCUACAAUGGCAGGUACAGAGGGCAGCGAUACCGCGAGGUGGAGCGAAUCCCAGAAAGCUUGUCGUAGUCCGGAUUGGAGUCUGCAACUCGACUCCAUGAAGUCGGAAUCGCUAGUAAUCGUGGAUCAGAAUGCCACGGUGAAUACGUUCCCGGGCCUUGUACACACCGCCCGUCACACCAUGGGAGUGGGAUGCAAAAGAAGUGGCUAGUUUAACCUUCGGGAGGACGGUCACCACUUUGUGUUUCAUGACUGGGGUGAAGUCGUAACAA